rnacentral:rRNA from 1 species
UACGUAGGGUGCGAGCGUUGUCCGGAAUUAUUGGGCGUAAAGGGCUCGUAGGCGGUUUGUCACGUCGGGAGUGAAAACUCGGGGCUCAACCCCGAGCCUGCUUCCGAUACGGGCAGACUAGAGGUAUGCAGGGGAGAAUGGAAUUCCUGGUGUAGCGGUGAAAUGCGCAGAUAUCAGGAGGAACACCGGUGGCGAAGGCGGUUCUCUGGGCCGGAACUGACGCUGAGGAGCGAAAGCGUGGGGAGCGAACAGG